CCCCUAGAUGUUCUGGGCCGCACGCGCGCUACACUGAACAGUUCAACAAGUCUUAACCUUGGCCGAUAGGUCUGGGUAAUCUUUGAACGCUGUUCGUGAUUGGGAUAGACCUUUGCAAUUAUGGGUCUUCAACGAGGAAUUCCUAGUAAACGCAAGUCAUCAGCUUGCAUUGAUUACGUCCCUGCCCUUUGUACACACCGCCCGUCGCACCUACCGAUUGAAUGGUCCGGUGAAGACUCGAGAUUGUGGUCUAGCUCCUUCAUUGGGGCUUGACCGCGAGAACCUGUCUAAACCUUAUCAUUUAGAGGAAGGUGAAGUCGUAACA
rnacentral:rRNA from 1 species